CGGGGCGUAGCUCAGCCUGGUAGAGCGCCUGCUUUGGGAGCAGGGGGCCGCUGGUUCGAAUCCGGCCGCCCCGACCA
rnacentral:tRNA from 1 species